rnacentral:sRNA from 1 species
UAUUCUGCCCAUGCGGGAAGGAUGAGAAGCUUCGACCAAGGUUCGACUCGAGCGCCAGCGAGAGAGCGUUGCCGCAGGCAACGACCCGAAGGGCGAAGCGCGCAGCGCUGAGUAAUCCUUCCCCCACCACCA